GUGAGGAAUUUUGCGCAAUGGGAGCAAUCCUGACGCAGCAACGCCGCGUGGGUGAAGAAGGCCUUCGGGUCGUAAAGCCCUGUCAGGUGGGAAGAAAGGUUUGGAGCCGAACAGGCUUUGAGUUUGACGGUACCACCAGAGGAAGCACCGGCUAACUCCGUGCCAGCAGCCGCGGUAAUACGGAGGGUGCAAGCGUUAUUCGGAAUUACUGGGCGUAAAGCGCGUGCAGGCGGGUGGAUAAGUCUGAUGUGAAAGCCCCGGGCUUAACCUGGGAAGUGCAUUGGAGACUGUUCAUCUUGAGUACUGGAGAGGAAGGGAGAAUUCCCGGUGUAGAGGUGAAAUUCGUAGAGAUCGGGAGGAACACCAGUGGCGAAGGCGCCCUUCUGGACGGUUACUGACGCUGAGACGCGAAAGCGUGGGGAGCAAACAGGAUUAGAAACCCCUGUAGUCC
rnacentral:rRNA from 1 species